AGCAGAGCACUAUUGAACCGGCUUGGCGGAGCAGGCGGACAUCCGAGGAAACCUUCGGCCAAGACGGAGCACGGAAGGGGGCAUCCACGGAGAAACAGGACGCCAGAGCAGCGCAGCGCGCAGCCAAACGGGAGACUGUCCUAUUAGCUGGAAGGUACGGUCUGGGCGUACCUUGGCGACGAUAGGAUACGAGGAAUAAGGGUUUGAUUUCGGAGAGGGGGUAAGAGUGACAGCCCCUAGAUCCAAGGAUCGCAGCAGGCGCGAAAAUUGCUCACUUCUCGGGGGAGAAGCAGUGAGGAGACAUGCAGGAAAGAGCGGGCGGCAAAGCAGCCCGCGAACGCSAACAGAGGGCAAGUCUGGUGCCAGCAGCCGCGGUAAUUCCAGCUCUGUAAGCGUCUGUGGUGUUUGUUGCAAUUAAAAGGUCCGCAGUCGGGCAGGGGCCCCGUGGGGAAAGCAGGCGGUUCAAAGGGAGAGCGAAGCACGGAAGACGCGUCAAGAGGGGCUGGCGGGGGCAGGAGGAUUUGGCAGCCAGAGGUGAAAUUCGGAGACUUGCCGAGGACGGACAGAGGCGAAGGCGCCUGCCAAGGACGCUUUCAUUGAUCAGGGACGAAGGCCGGAGGAUCGAAGACGAUUAGAGACCGUUGUAGUUCCGGCGGUAAACGGUGCCGACACGGGUGUCUGCGGCGGCGGCGCAGCGGGCGCCCGGAGAGAAAUCGAGUGCGAGGGCUUUGGGGAAAGUACAGUCGCAAGACGGAAACUUAAACGAAAUUGACGGAAGGACACCACCAGGAGUGGAGCGUGCGGCUUAAUUUGACUCAACACGGGGCACUUUACCGCUGGAAGACGCCAGAGGGAUCGGCGCGAGAUUUGGCAGAAAGUGGUGCAUGGCCGCUCCUGGCCCGUGGGGUGACCUGUCAGGUUGAAUCCGCUAACGGGCGCGAUCCGCGCGCCUUGACUGCGCGGCAGGAAGGCGGACGGCCGGCGCGCAGCCGGAGGAGGGCGGGCGAUAGCAGGUCCGUGAUGCCCUUUGAAGCAGCGGGCUGCACGCGCGCUACAGUGCGGGCAGGAGGGCCGCGCCGAGAGGCGCGCGCAGAGCGGGCCGCAGGGGAUGCCCGCGAGGGAGCGCGGGCUGAACGCGGAAUUCCCAGUACCCGCGGGUCACCAGCCCGCGGAGACAGCGUCCCUGUCCCUUGUACACACCGCCCGUCGCUCUCAGAGA
rnacentral:rRNA from 1 species